GCUUGUCUCAAAGAUUAAGCCAUGCAUGUCUAAGUAUAAGUAUUAUACAGCGAAACUGCGAAUGGCUCAUUAAAACAGUUAUAGUUUACAUGAUAAUCGAAUUUACAUGGAUAACCGUGGUAAUUCUAGAGCUAAUACAUGCUGGCGUGCCCGACUUUUGUGGAAGGGCGGUAUUUAUUAGAUAACAAGCCAAUAUUCCUCACGGUCUAUUGUGGUGACUCAUAAUAACUGAUCGAAUCUCAAAUUUGAGAUAAAUCAUUCAAGUUUCUGCCCUAUCAGCUUUCGAUGGUAGUGUAUUGGACUACCAUGGCAGUAACGGGUAACGAAGAAUUAGGGUUCGAUUUCGGAGAGGGAGCAUGAGAAACGGCUACCACAUCCAAGGAAGGCAGCAGG
rnacentral:rRNA from 1 species